CUUGCUCAGCUAGCCAGUAGUGGUUGGUAGUGGAAAAAUGUUGUGCUGUGUUGCGCUGACAUGCAAAUGAUUGCUGUCAACAUCACGGGAAAACAAAGAUACGUAAUUUUAUAAGCCUCCUGGGAUACGUCUGACAUCGCUGAUGCGCAAAAUGCGUCUUCUGCACUUAUAUAGUGCUGUCCUUGGCACAUUUUGUUAUCUCUUGCAAGUUAAUGCUAACUUCGAUGGAUAUGUAACACUGUCACAUGAUGGACCUGUUGUUAUUGGUGGCACAAUAACAUUUAGAGCUGAUGUUUAUAAGUAUGAUGGUACCAGGCCAUCUGGAACGUUUUCAUAUGAAUGGAAGGAUGAUGGUAUCAUACCACAUAAAUAUACGCCUGAUCAUACAAGGAAUACCACUGCUUUUUGGUCAAUAUCAUAUCCUGCCGAAAUCUACAGUGUAGGUAUAUACAUUGUAGAAGUCAAAGUCAUAAAAAAAAAGACCUGGUUUAAUGAGAGUACCAGAGUAGCAACAAAAUUUGCCGUAACGUCACUAUUAAAUGGAAACAUGACGAUUAAACAAGAAAAUGCUACGACAAAGGGAAAUUUUGUUUCUUCCUCACUCGAGUCAACUGUCGCAAUAGAUAUUCGCAAGGGUGAUCUCAGUUUUAUAAUGACCAAUGCAACAUCAAUUUCCACAUUUUGGUUCAUCGACUGCCAAUAUUAUGGUCACACAGAGAAUUUCAUUUUUAACUACAACUUUACGGAUCCCGACAGGAGUCAUACAAUUGAGGCCUUGGUAGUUGCGUCAUUCGAUCCACCCACCACAACGACCUCCUUACCAGAUACUACGACCAGCACUACUGUCAAUCCACCAUGGCUUUCUGUGGUAUCAAAUUCAUCCAUUAAUUCCACAGCUAUUUCUACAACAUCUACAGCAACACCAUUUACCACUUCAUCUACAACGGCACUCUCUACGAUAACAACACCAAAUUCAUUGCAAAACACUACGGUGCCAGUAUUUGGUAACAUUUCGUUUCCCUUCGUGUGCUUAAACUCUUCCAUCGUCCCCCCAGAUCCUCAUAAUAUAUAUGGCUACUUUCAAAGAACAAUCGAAGUCAGAGCUCCCGUAACAGAUAUCUCAGUGGAUGGUACUAAUUGGAUUCAACCAUGGGCAAUGUUGAAUCUCAACGUAACCUGUGAGGGCUCAGGACCAUUUAUAAGAUGUCUCCAGUUCCAUCGAGGAAAUUAUAACGUAACUGGAAACGAGACUUGCGGAGAUGGCGAACGCAAGCCCAAUUGCAAUUUCUCAAUCAUACACUAUUUCUUAGAACCAUCUGAUUACACCAUUGUUAUAAUAUUGACAAACGACAUCAGCACGAAUAUACAUCCCGUAACCAUAAACAUUUACCAGGCUACAACACAACCACAGCUCUCAGUUAUUGUUGUACCAGUACUAUGCUCUCUGGUAGCUCUUGUACUGAUCAUCUUUGGCAUCGCUUACUACAUACAGAGCAGAGCGAGGUUCACCGUUGAGGUUGCUGAUUUUGACUUUGGUCAAAGCAAUCCUGAUAUGGAAUACAAGACGUUUGCCGAGCGAUUGCGUGACUCUUUUGACAGUGCUGUAAGACCUGGAAGCAAUCGGAUAAGUGUACGCGCACCCUAUUAUGGAAGCAUGAACCGCUGACAAGUUCGGAUUGAUGAAUAACUGAUCACUCGACAACUUUUAUGGUCGUAAAAUGCAAGCAGGCUAUAAACCACUUGGCAAUUCACAGCUAUUGCAGUAACAAUAGCUUCCAAACACAACUAGAGCAAAAUGAAGAGCAAACUUUUUCCAGCGUUACUUCUACUAAACGUAGUAAAUGCCUGACGCAUUCUGAAGCGUGUGCGAAGUUUAUUAAAUUCGGUUAAAUCGACAAAUCAAAAAUCUAUCAAGAAACGUCCGGACUUGUAUCGCACGCAUUCAACUUUACAUUUAAAGAGUCCUUAAAAUUUGAUUGUAAUAUUUUUUAGAGAUUAAGCAUUUUCUUCGAAGUAUAGCAUCGACAUAUAUAUAUUAUACACCAUAUACACUAAUUAUAAAUAAUAAAUAAGUAUAUAGUGCCGGGUGUGACAACUGAUGAACUUUAAAAUUGUACAUAGAUUAUACAGCGUUAUUCAGAUGAAGCGCAUUAGCCAGAUUUGACAGCUGUCGCGUGACUGCUUGAUGAAGCAUAAUUUGGUAAUAUUUUACAAUCAAAUUUAAUAUAAUACUAUUAAAUCUAACUAAUGCAUUUUAAUACGAAUAGCCCUGUAUUGCACAUAGGCUGUGAAUCGGUAUGCCACAUAAUGCGGUGCGGACAUUGACGACCUGAGUCCGCGAGGGCUAACCAUUAUUUUUUUCUUUUUUCAAAUCUUUUAUAUUACAUCACCAAAUAUCGACCUUGCUAUUCCACCUUUACCAAUGUUACCAUAAAGUACCGUUUGUCAUUCCUAGCCAAUCUUAUAAUGAUUGCAUUAGGUCUUAGAGAGUAAGACGUGAAGAGAAGCGCAGUUUGUUAAACAAUAUUUGUCUUACACUGUGGCAAAUAGUGAAUCAUUGAAGCCAAUAAGAAUAAAUGAAAUAACACGAA